rnacentral:rRNA from 1 species
AUACGAAGGGUGCAAGCGUUACUCGGAAUCACUGGGCGUAAAGCGCGCGCAGGCGGUCUUUUAAGUUGGAUGUGAAAGCCUACGGCUCAACCGUAGAACUGCAUCCAAAACUAUUAGACUAGAGUGUGAGAGAGGAAGAUGGAAUUAGUUGUGUAGGGGUAAAAUCCGUAGAGAUAACUAGGAAUACCAAAAGCGAAGGCAAUCUUCUGGAACACUACUGACGCUGAGGCGCGAAAGCGUGGGGAGCAAACAGAAUUAGAAACCCUAGUAGUCC